AUGACAGUGAAAGCCAGAGUAAACAGACAUGUCCAGGUUGGGCACCUAUUCGCCAUGGCUGUGUUCAACUCUGAAAAGUUGUGAUUGCUCCAUCUGCGACCUCACUGAUGGUCUACACGAUGUAGUGUUCCCUUAUGACUCUACUCAUGGCAAAUCCACAGCACAGGCCGAGAAUGGGAGACUAUCAUCAACAGGAAGGUCACCUCCAUCUUCCAGGAAGGAGAGCUUGCCAAGAUGGAGUCUACUGGUGUCUUCAACUCCACGAAGAAGGCCAAAGCACACUCGCAGUGUGGAACCCAGAGGGCCAUCAUCUCCGGCCCCUAGGCUGAUGCCCCUACGUGAACCACAGGAAGCAUGAUUCCUUCAGGAUUGUCACACUACUUCCUAGAGCACCAAGUGCUGGGCCCCCUGGCCAAUGUCACCCACGACAACCUUGGCAUUACUUAGGGACUCACGACCGCAUUCCACGCCAUAACCUUACCCAGAAGACCGUGGAUGGUUCCUCUGGGAAACCGUGAGCAGGAAGGCUAUGUCCAGAACACCAUCCCUGCAUCCAGUGGCCGUAGAAAGGCUGUAAAUCAUCCCAGAACUGAGCAGGAAGUUCCCUGGCCUUCCAUGUUCCCACCCCCAAUACGUCUACUGCUGUGAAUCUGACCCACCCGACCUGGAGGAAGUUGCCAAAUCCAGGGACAUCAAGAAGCUGGGGAAGGGACUCCUGAAAGGCCUUCUGGGCUAUCCUGAGGACCCAGUUGCCUCCAGCUACCUUAACAGAGAUACAUAAUCCUCUGCCUGAAUUCAACACUGAGUCUGGUAUUGGCUUUAGCAACCACCAUGUCAAGCUCAUUUCCUGGUAUGAC
rnacentral:lncRNA from 1 species